rnacentral:snRNA from 1 species
GUAUAUUUCUGAACAUAUAUUAAAAUUGGAACAAUAUAGAGAAGAUUAGCAUGGCCCGUGCACAAGGAUAACACGCAAAUUCGUGAAGUGUUCCAAAUUUUC